rnacentral:snRNA from 1 species
GUGCUCACUUCGGCAGCACAUAUACUAAAAAUUGAAACGAUACAGAGAAGGUUAGCAUAGCCCCUGUGCAAGGAUGACACGCAAAUCCGUGAAGCGUUCCAUAAUUAA